GGAUUCUAAACCCCUGGAAAGAGUUUUAGGCACAAGAUUAAGAGGUGGAUGGAACUGGAGGUCAUAUCUUAAAUGAAACAAGCCAAGCAAAGAAAGUCAAAUAUCACAUAUUCUCACUCCUAAGUAGGGACUAAAAAAUGUGUACACAUGGAUGUAGAGAAUGGAAUGAUUGACAGGAUACAAAUAUGAUUUAAGAUAAACCUGAAACCCUGGAACCCUUCAUAAUAUAGACACACAGAUGACCCAACAUGGAAAAUAAUAUAUUGUAAAAGUCAUUCAGUUGUGGGGAAAUGUGCAGAGAGGAUUCUAUUUGGACUUGUUAUAAAUAAGCAAGAUUGUAUCAACAAUCUAGAGAGCCUCUGAAGUGUAACUACCCUUUCAGCAUUUCAGAAGACCAUGCACUAUUCCCGUUGAUGAGACUAUACAGGAUGAACAAAACAGAAAAAAAUUGUGUCCUCAUGGAGCAGACUGCAUAAAUUUUAUUCAGAAAAGAUAUGCUACAGAAGGUGACAGUGUUGGAGUGGAGUGACUGAAAUUAUACAUGUAGCCACAGGGAUAAAUUGAUUUUUGAAUAAAAUUCUGAAUGAGGAGGAAAGGUGGUUGGCUAAUUGUGGAAGCUGAGUGUUUUGUCUGAAAUUUGAGAAGAUGGAGAAGAUUUUAAGUGCAUGGCUUUUUGCGAGAGUAGGUGAGUUAUAUGAAGCAGGCCUGGCACGGUGGCUCAUGCCUGUAAUCCCAGCACUUUGGGAGGCUGAGGAGGACGCAUCACCUGAAGUCAGGAAUUUGAGACCAGCCUGACCAACAUGGAGAAACCCCAUCUCAACUAAAAAUACAAAAUUAGCCUGGUGUGGUGGCGCAUCCCUGUAAUCCCAGCUACUCACGAGGCUGAGCCAGGAGAAUCACUUGAACCCAGGACACGGCAGUUUUGGAUUAUUGUUUUGUACUACUAAGCUUUGACACGAACUAUGGGGAAGAUCUAAAAUUAAUAUACAACCAUACCUCAAAAUAUUGCAGGAUCAGUUCCAGACCACUGCCAUGAAGUCAAUAUUGCAACAAAGUGCCCAAAAAUCAUGGUCUAGUUUUCCCUGCUUUCACCCUCACAACUGGAGGGUUCAUGGAGCUCUCCAGGGGAUGACGGUUGUGCCAUGCAGAGCAGCAUUUCUAAGCAAGUGUGAGUUCAUGUGAGUAGAGCCAAACACGAGUCAAAUUUCCAUUAAAAAAACUAUGAGUUCCGCGAGGUGCGGUGGCUCAUG
rnacentral:lncRNA from 1 species